rnacentral:rRNA from 1 species
GAUGAACGCUGGCGGCGUGCCUAACCCAUGUAAGUCGAACGAACCAAUUAGCAAUAGUUGGUGAGUGGCGGAAGGGUGAGUAACACGUAGGAGACUUGCCUCAUCGCAGGGAACAACAGUCCGAAAGGAUUGCUAAUACCCAAAAGGGUCGAUAAUUCAUUUUGUCGACCAGAGUCGAAAGGCGUGAUGAGAGAGUCCUGCGGCCCAUCAGCUAGUUGGUAGGGUAGUGGCCUACCAAGGCAACGACGGGUAGGGGGUCUGAGAGGAUGGUCCCCCACACUGGAACUGAAACACGGUCCAGACGCCUACGGGUGGCUG